GACGAACGCUGGCGGCGUGCUUAACACAUGCAAGUCGAACGGAAAGGCCUCAGCUUGCUGGGGUACUCGAGUGGCGAACGGGUGAGUAACACGUGAGUGAUCUGCCCUUCACUCUAGGAUAAGCUUGGGAAACUGGGUCUAAUACCGGAUAUGAACUGCUUCUAGUGUGGGGGUUGUAAAGAAUUUUCGGUGCAAGCUGAGCUCGCGGGCUAUCAGCGUGUUGGUGGGGUAAUGGCCUACCAAGGCGUCGACGGGUAGCCGGUCACAGAGGGGGUACGGCCACCUUGGGACCUAGGGGAGGCCCAGGAUCCUACGGGGGGGAACAGGGGGGAAUAUUGACGAAGGGGCGGGAGGCUGGUGAAGCAACGCCGCGGAGCGGAUGACGGCCUUAGGGUUGUAAAACCCUUUCGACAGGGACGAAGCCUUUUGUGACGUUACCUGUAUAAGAAGCACCGGCUAACUACGUG
rnacentral:rRNA from 1 species